ensembl:lncRNA MIR924HG MIR924 host gene
GGCAGGCGGGAAGUGCUCUAGCAGGGGAGUCUGACCUUGUGAGGGAAUACCUGUGUCCCCCCUUUUUUCCCCUUUUUACCCAAUAAAACCCUGCCUUACUCACCCUUUAAAUCAUCUGCGAGCCUGAAUUUUCAUGGCCGUGGGACGGACAAGAACUUUAUCUUCAGCUGAACUAAGAAAAAGUCCUGCAACAUUUUUGGCGCGCAAUGUGGGGGCACCAGAAGCGGGCACCGUUGAGCUGUUGCAACUGUUCUGCUGGAGCCUUAUGUAUGUGGUUGAAACCACCUGUACUACUGGAAUGAAAGCACCUUUACAGAAGAGGCAAUGCAAGUUGUAUUCAUCACAUGUGUAGAAUGAAUUAAGAUUUAUGCCAGUUGCAAAGAAGAAUAUUGGCUCACUAUUUUUCCUCUGGGCAUCUCCCCUCUCCACUGAGGGCUGAUUUCAUCACUCAACAAAAUUCUCCGAAUUCACCAUCCUUCAGUUCAUCCACAUGACCUCAUUCCUCUUGGGCACCGGACAAGAAUUUGGGAUGCACCAAAUGCAGAAAGAGACCUCAAGUAAACCUCCAGCAGCCAUCUGGACUUCCAUGAAAACAGAACAAUCAGUGAGAUGCAGAGCUUGGAGGAGACAGUUUCCAUAGACUGAAGCACGUGCUGAAGCAAAGUUCACACUUGCAGGAUUAGAAGAGGUUGACCGAAAGAAGGAAGGACAUGGACAGCUAUGUUGUUGUGGAGUCCUGUUUUAUAGUCAUAACCUUGAGUCAAGUGAGUUUGUCUGGACAGACAGAGCUUGUUGCCUUUACUUAUAGGGAAGGCACCGGACACAGACAGCCUCAAGGACAUUUGUUCUAGCCUUUCAGUAUCCUUUCUCUUAAUUAUCUCACCUCAUCCAUGAAGCUGGUAUGUACGAUUUUUCCUUUCUUUCUCAAUCCUUUAAAAAAUUAAAGCUCUAAAUCUCAUUUCCACUUAGAUUUUAAUGUUGCAUUGUAACUUAAGAUAAAACCUUGCUCUGAUGUUAAAAAUACUAAAGUAAGAAGCAAUAUGGCAUAGUGCUUAUGAGCAGGACUACAUAGUUCUUUCUGAAUACAAAUCUCAGAUAAAACACUAUCUCAGUGAUCAACCAGGUUAAGCAACCUUUUUAGUGCCUCAAUUAUUCCAUUUGUAAAAUUGUAAUAAUGAUAGUACUAACCUAUAAGAUUGUGGUGAGGAUUAAGUCAGAUAAUACAAAAGAAGCAUUUAGAGUAUUUCCUGGCAUUAUCUACCAUUUAUUGAAUUUUUAUGGUUAAGAAGAAUAAGGAAAAGCAGAAGAAAAGGAAAAGAGAAAAAAUACAUAAGAAGAAGGAAGAGUGGUAAGCUCUAGUAAAUUACAACAAACGGUAACGUAGAAAACAUUUGUUAGCCCUUAAUAUAGGCCAGGCACUGUGUUCAAUGCUUAAACCUCAUUACUGUUCUUUGAAGUGGAUAACAUUAUUCCUUCCAUUUUAAAGAAAGGAAUACUAAAGACAACUUUGUCAAUAUUAUUCAUGUAAUAAAUGACAGAAUUUGACCAAGACAAUAGAGAAUGAACUCUUAAUCACUAUAUUGUUUUAUUUUUUGAAAAUAGAUUUUAAGUUCUUAUUAAAUGUUAAUGACUCACAUCAAAAUAAAGCCAAUCAAAAUUGACAGCA